rnacentral:rRNA from 1 species
GAUGAACGCUGGCGGCGUGCCUAACACAUGCAAGUCGAGCGAUCUCUUCGGAGAGAGCGGCGGACGGGUGAGUAACGCGUGGGUAACCUGCCCUGUACACACGGAUAACAUACCGAAAGGUAUGCUAAUACGGGAUAAUAUAUAAAAGUCGCAUGGCUUUUAUAUCAAAGCUUUUGCGGUACAGGAUGGACCCGCGUCUGAUUAGCUAGUUGGUAAGGUAACGGCUUACCAAGGCGACGAUCAGUAGCCGACCUGAGAGGGUGAUCGGCCACACGGGAGCUGAGACACGGUCCAGACUCCUACGGGAGGCAGCAGUGGGGAAUAUUGCACAAUGGGCGAAAGCCUGAUGCAGCAACGCCGCGUGAGCGAUGAAGGCCUUCGGGUCGUAAAGCUCUGUCCUCAAGGAAGAUAAUGACGGUACUUGAGGAGGAAGCCCCGGCUAACUACGUGCCAGCCGCCGCGGUAA